rnacentral:tRNA from 6 species
GGCCUCGUAGUUCAGCUGAAUAGAACGCAGGAUUCCGGUUCCUGAAGUCGUGGGUUUGAAUCCCGCCGGGGUCACAA